AGAUCUCCUUGCUAUAAUUCACAGGGCAAUAAGGGAAAAAUCCUAUUUGGUAAUAGUAGAAAUCAGCUCAACUGGAAUGAUCUGCAGAAAUGUUCCUCCAACCAUGCUUCUUUUCCAGACUGGAGACAAAAGAGGGAGCAUGCUGUGGAAUUUGCACCUCAACUCAGCUUGUUUUCAUGGUUAAAGUCACUAAAUGAAAACCAGGUGUAUUCAGGAGGCAGUUUUUCUCAGAAGUGCAGUGACGGAGGAACCCAUUUAUGAAAAAGGAAAUAAUAGAAGUACAUCACAGUGACAGCAGCAGAAACCAAUUCACUGGAGAUGGCAAAUGAAGGGAAUCACUGAUGGUUACAGUUAAUGUCUGGUCAGUCUAGAAAAUAACUGUCCAAAUGCGGGGAGGAGCUGCAGAAUACCCAUGAGUGCUCUCGUGUGCUGUAGUUAGCUCAACAGAGGCCUCUGCUGAGCAAAUAGUAACAGCCUGAAACAAGCUCAGAAACGGGCCAAGUAUCUCACCUUUAUAUGCCCUUGUAAGGAUCGUGUAGUACUCUUCUUACAGGCAAUGUUGCAAGGAAAGAAAAUUCCAAAGGGACAGAUAAGUGUGAAUAGAUCUGUCUUAUUUCUGAGAAAAAAAGAAAAAAGAAAAAAGAAAUGUCCCUUAUAAAAUAAGAAUGAUCACACAUGGUUUGCAGUUAGAGAACAUUUUAAUUUUUUUGCCAUAAUUUUGUGUAUUAAAGUUUUGAAAGUUAUCUGAGCAAUCACACCAGAUAGAUUGCUAUUUGCCAUAGGAUUUAGGGUAUCCCUUUGGAUCAUUUCAAACUGUUUUCUGUCUUCAUUUAAUUGAAUUUGCCACACUGAAACCGAAUCAAACCUUUGAUUUAUCAGAAGUGCUUUAUUCUUCACUCUAGAUAUGUGUAGAUCUAAGCUAUAAACAGGAAAGCAGUAAAAAGUUGCACUGGUAAAUCUUUUAGAGAACACUGCCGUUCUGUGAAGCUUUAUGCUGUCUUUUCUGGUGCURUGGAGCGCUUUUGUAGGAGCUCAUUUGGGAAAUGUAUUCUUUGAUUUUGAUAAUCAAUUGAUCAACAUUUGAAGCUUUGCUCAGACACACAAUUAUUGUGAACAGCAGUAUUUUCAAAUAUCUGUUUGAUUGUGUUUGUGAUGCUCACUUUGUUCAACUCUGCUCCAAGCAAAUUAAAAUGUACUGUUAUAAUAAGUAUGGGAAGGUUAGCAUUCAGCUUUAGGGAUAAAACAUUUUGACAGUUCCAUU
rnacentral:lncRNA from 1 species